AUGGAGCCGACCUUGAAAUACCACCCUUUAAUGUUUGAUGUUCUAACGUUGACCCGUAAUCCGGGUUGCGGACAGUGUCUGGUGGGUAGUUUGACUGGGGCGGUCUCCUCCUAAAGAGUAACGGAGGAGCACGAAGGUUGGCUAAUCCUGGUCGGACAUCAGGAGGUUAGUGCAAUGGCAUAAGCCAGCUUGACUGCGAGCGUGACGGCGCGAGCAGGUGCGAAAGCAGGUCAUAGUGAUCCGGUGGUUCUGAAUGGAAGGGCCAUCGCUCAACGGAUAAAAGGUACUCCGGGGAUAACAGGCUGAUACCGCCCAAGAGUUCAUAUCGACGGCGGUGUUUGGCACCUCGAUGUCGGCUCAUCACAUCCUGGGGCUGAAGUAGGUCCCAAGGGUAUGGCUGUUCGCCAUUUAAAGUGGUACGCGAGCUGGGUUUAGAACGUCGUGAGACAGUUCGGUCCCUAUCUGCCGUGGGCGCUGGAGAACUGAGGGGGGCUGCUCCUAGUACGAGAGGACCGGAGUGGACGCAUCACUGGUGUUCGGGUUGUCAUGCCAAUGGCACUGCCCGGUAGCUAAAUGCGGAAGAGAUAAGUGCUGAAAGCAUCUAAGCACGAAACUUGCCCCGAGAUGAGUUCUCCCUGAC
rnacentral:rRNA from 1 species